CUGUUGUGAUAUGCUCAACAUUAAUAACACCUCUUUUAUAUAGUUAUAGAGAAGAUCUUACCUAGUGUGGUUUCUGGAAUCAUCUAACACUCCGCUGAGGCCGACGCAGUAGAAGCUACACAUGCAGAGAGGAGGCUCUUGAGCACACUUAACCUUCACCCUAACUGCUACAGUAAUGAGGACAAUCAGUCAGUGUGCUCAAUUCCCGAGAUCCCGGCAGAGAGUCAUAGCUUUUUAUCACCCAAUCAUGGUGAGUCAAUAACAUUUAUGACUGGUAGUUUUCUAAUCAGUUGAG
rnacentral:lncRNA from 1 species